rnacentral:lncRNA from 1 species
AAUUGAUGAAGGAGAAUGUAAUCGAGGUUAGGAGAUGAAGGAAGAGGAUGAAGCGAAGCCAUUAGAAGCUAAAAUAUAAGAAAGAAUGAGAAAAAUAUGAGGAGAAGAAAGGAAAAACCUCAAACAGGGGUGAAGAAGAAAAGAAGCGGAAGGUUCGAAGAAGAAAGCGAUGAAGCGCUAGAGGUUAAAAAGAAAGAAAAGAGAGAGAGAGCCAUCAGAUGGAAUUUCAAAAAAUAGUUUUAAUGGCGAAUAGACUGUG